CAGCAGCCACGGUAAAACGGAGGAUCCAAGCGUUAUCCGGAAUCAUUGGGUUUAAAGGGUCCGUAGGCGGUCUUGUAAGUCAGUGGUGAAAGCCCAUCGCUCAACGGUGGAACGGCCAUUUAUACUGCAGGACUUGAAUUAUUGGGAAGUAACUAGAAUAUGUAGUGUAGCGGUGAAAUGCUUAGAGAUUACAUGGAAUACCAAUUGCGAAGGCAGGUUACUACCAAUUGAUUGACGCUGAUGGACGAAAGCGUGGGUAGCGAACAGGAUUAGAUACCCCUGUAGUCCCUGUCUCUUAUAC
rnacentral:rRNA from 1 species